GCUGCAAUGGUGUAACGGUAUCAUUGCUGCCUUCCAUGGAAGGAUCAACUGUUCCACCCCAAACUUGCGAUAGCAGCAGACCUGGGUUCGACUCCCAGUUGCAGCA